UACGUAGGGUGCAAGCGUUGUCCGGAAUUAUUGGGCGUAAAGAGCUCGUAGGCGGUCCGUCACGUCGGCUGUGAAAACCUGGGGCUCAACCCCGGGCCUGCAGCCGAUACGGGCGGACUAGAAUUCGGUAGGAGAGUGGAAUUCCUGGUGUAGCGGUGAAAUGCGCAGAUAUCAGGAAGAACACCCGUGGCUAAGGCGGCUCUCUAGUACGGUACUGACGCUGAGACGCGAAAGCGUGGGGAGCGAACAGG
rnacentral:rRNA from 1 species